rnacentral:RNase_P_RNA from 1 species
CAGGUAAACCGGGUGACCGCCCCGAUUAUAUCGGGGAGGAAAGUCCGAGCUCCACCGGGCAGGAUGCUGGGUAACGCCCAGGGUCCGAUAAUGUAAAUUAUCGGAUACGGAAAGUGCCACAGAAACAUACCGCGCCGAUUUAUCGGCGUAAGGGUGAAAUGGCGAGGUAAGAGCUCACCGCUCCGAUGGUGACAUCGUCCCGAAAAUGGGAUCCCCCGAUUUCUCUGGGGAGAGGGCGGGCAAACCCCAUCCGGAGCAAGACCAAAUAAGAGGGAAGAGGACGCCCGGACUCGUUAUAACCCUCGGGUAGGUCGCUUGACCCCGAUGGUAACAUCGGGGCUAGAUAGAUGGUCACCGCCCCGA